UUAAUUUACGUAGGGGUAUAUAUGAAAGUUUAUAAAAACAUGGGGAUGUAAGAAGAAAACAUGGGGUGCAGGAAGAAAAGCCCAUAGACUGUCCAAGGGGAUUUUGCAUCGAUAUCUUUACUAACACGGUGUUUUUUAAAAGCAUUGAAAUAGCCCAAAGAAAAAUUAUUUUUAACAGGCCUACUCUUGACUUGAAAAGCCUAAUAAUACGCAAAUUUAAAGAAGAAAGAAAAAGAGUAGAAUUGAAGUUGAAUGUUAUAAGGAAGGAAGUGGGUCCAUGAAUUGAAGUUGGAAUUGCAUUAUUCAGCAUAUUCUGAGUUAGAAGAGUGAAAAAUGGAAGAGUGAAAGGUAAAUAUGAAAUGGGAAAAAGAAAAGGAAUAUACAGAUAAAGAGGAAGUGAAGAAGCAUAUAAGGGAAAAGCAUUGAUUAAUUAAAGAAAAGAAAAGCAAUUCCACUGAGGAGAAGGUUGCAUGGAGUUGAUCCACUUUGUGUUUUGCGAGUUGCCAAUCAUUCGCCGCCUCACCACCCUCUCUUUAUAUAAAAUAAUUCUCUCCUUAUCAUAAAGAAUUUCUUAGUGGGAAUUUCCUUUUUAGGCUCAUUCAUU
rnacentral:lncRNA from 1 species